AGCGAACGUUAGCGGCGCGCCUAACACAUGCAAGUCGCACGAGAAACGGAGCAAUCCGCGGUACAGUGGCGCACGGGUGAGUAACACGUGGAUGACCUUCCCUGGAGUGGUGGAUAACCUGCCGAAAGGCGGGCUAAUACAGCAUGGGACCACGACGCUUUGGCGAUGUGGUGAAAGCGGGCCUCUAUAUAUAAGCUCGCGCUCCGGGACGGGUCCGCGUCCCAUCAGCUAGUUGGUGAGGUAACGGCUCACCAAGGCAACGACGGGUAGCU
rnacentral:rRNA from 1 species